rnacentral:rRNA from 1 species
GUGAGGAAUAUUGGUCAAUGGGCGAGAGCCUGAACCAGCCAAGUCGCGUGAAGGAAGAAGGAUCUAUGGUUCGUAAACUUCUUUUGCAGGGGAAUAAAGUGCGGGACGUGUCCUGUUUUGUAUGUACCCUGAGAAUAAGGAUCGGCUAACUCCGUGCCAGCAGCCGCGGUAAUACGGAGGAUCCGAGCGUUAUCCGGAUUUAUUGGGUUUAAAGGGUGCGUAGGUGGUUUGAUAAGUCAGCGGUGAAAGUUUGCAGCUUAACUGUAAAAAUGCCGUUGAAACUGUCGGACUUGAGUGUAAAUGAGGUAGGCGGAAUGCGUGGUGUAGCGGUGAAAUGCAUAGAUAUCACGCAGAACUCCGAUUGCGAAGGCAGCUUACUAAGCUACAACUUACACUGAAGCACGAAAGCGUGGGGAUCAAACAGGAUUAGAUACCCCAGUAGUCC